rnacentral:rRNA from 1 species
AUUGAACGCUGGCGGCAGGCCUAACACAUGCAAGUCGAACGAGUGGCGGACUGGUGAGUAAUGUGUGGGAAACUGCCUGAUUGAGGGGGAUAACUACUGGAAACGGUAGCUAAUACCGCAUACCCUCAGAUGUGCCCAGAUGGGAUUAGCUUGUUGGUGGGGUAACGGCUCACCAAGGCUACGAUCCCUAGCGGGUCUGAGAGGAUGACCAGCCACACGGGAACUGAGACACGGCCCAGACUCCUACGGGAGGAAGCAGUGGGGACUAUUGCACAAUGGGCGCAAGCCUAAUGCAGCCAUGCCGCGUGUAUGAAGAAGGCCUUCGGGUUGUAAAGUACUUUCAGCGGGGAGGCGUUACCCGCAGAAGAAGCACCGGCUAACUCCGUGCCAGCAGCCGCGGUAAUUC